rnacentral:rRNA from 1 species
GAUAAACGCUGGCGGCGUGCAUGAGACAUGCAAGUCGAACGAGUGCCGGGCAACCGGUGCUAGUGGCGGACGGCUGAGUAACGCGUUGGUGACCUACCCCGAAGUGGGGAAUAACUGCCCGAAAGGGUGGCUAGUACCGCAUGUGGUCGCACGUUCGGUCGUGCGAGUAAAGCCGCAAGGCGCUUCGGGAGGGGCCUGCGUCCGAUUAGCUCGUUGGUGGGGUAAUGGCUUACCAAGGCGACGAUCGGUAGGUGGUCUGAGAGGACGAUCACCCAGACUGGGACUGGGACACGGCCCAGACUCCGACGGGAGGCAGCAGUCGGGAAUUUUGCUCAAUGGGGGAAACCCUGAAGCAGCAACGCCGCGUGAGGGAUGAAGGCCUUCGGGUUGUAAACCUCUUUUGUCAGGGACGAUGAUGACGGUACCUGGCGAAUAAGCCACGGCUAACUACGUGCCAGCAGCCGCCGUAAGAC